CUGAGAUCCACUAACCGGGCCUCAACCGGCCCAACUGGAUGCCCGUGUGGAUUUUAUUUGUGGGUCGUUUCGAUCGGGGGAUUUGGCGGGAGACGACUCCGACCCGGUAACGCAGCUCAUUUUUGAGAAGAGAGCCUGGACUGUGAAACCCUAGACUAGAGAGUAGAGAGCUCGCCGAUUCUCUGAUCCCGUCUUCGCGAGCCGAAAGCCCAGGGUGGUCUUCUCCGACUCCGAUCUCGUCCGGUGCCGGUGAACGAGAGUGAUACAUUUGAUGAAGCCACUAAAGAAUGUGAUGAGCACAACUUGCAACCCCAGUUCUUGAUCAGGAAAAUUGAGGAUGGGAACCUUGACGGACAGACAACAAGAAAUGAGGAAAACUUUGAUGCAAUUAUACAUCAUCUUCCUUUAAUCAAAAACAAAGCUUGUCUCAUGGCUUAUAUGUUAACCAUAACCUUUAACAUGAUCAUUUUUGCUUAA